AGUAGGUGAUCAACAACUGGUUAUUUAGUACCUUUUAACCCACGUUUGGAGUUCCAACUUUAAAUAUUUCAUUCCUUUCCAUUUCCCACACUUUCCCUCACACUCGUAGAAACUCUUUCAUCUUCUCAGAUAGCGAAAACCUUUUUGUUCCCAGAAAAUUCAUUCCCAUAUUCUACUUCUCUUGCAUUUAGCUUGGAUAACUAUAGAGAAUACAAAUAUUUCAGGGUUAACAAUAUCAAAUACAUCCACAUUCGCACUCGCCUACAUGCAUAUCUUCAGUACUUAUCGAAUAAGCUUUCUUCACUGAGGUUCAUAGUUCCUACUUUGUUUUUGGAUAAUUUUUUGUGCUUGGGUUUUGGUUUUAGAUGAUGAACAUGCUAGGAUUUAGGUCAUUCCCUCUUUUUAUGCUAUUUUGCAUCCUUCUAAGUGUAAAAAUCCAGUUGUAAGUGAUCUUUUUUUCAUUUUGACUAAAAUUGUGUUUUGAGGGUUUCAAUUCUGGAAAUUUCCCAAAUUUUGACCUUGUUUAGUUGUGUUCUUGAAUCUCCGAUGGUGUUUCCGGUGACGUUUCUUUGCUUCAAGAACACUCCUUUUUAGAAAAAAAAAUUCAUCCUUUUUUUGUCCCCAAGCAGUUGUCUUAGGGUAUUCUCGUGUUCUGGCCAUUUUUUCUUUCGGUCGGGAUACUAAAUGCUUGGAUUUUUUUCAUAUGUCCGAGGAGCUCUAAGAACUUAACCAGCACAGGUUCUACAGAUUUGAUUGAGAAAUUCAGGAGAUGCCCAGAAGACAAACUCUCAAGGAUGCUCGUGUGGUGGAGCGUCUAGCCUUGGUGGCGGAAAGGCCACUGACGGUGAGGGCGCAAUCGGGUGUGCUUAUCUUAACUGAGGAGGAAGUCAACGUGGGCCCGAUGUCCAACUAAUCAGCUCAUUAUAAAGCCUCGAGAUUUAAGGUGGAGCAUAUCCUGACCUAGUUGAAAAACUUGAAUGCUUGGCCCACAUCAAGGCCCCCUACGGGUUCGCAAUGACAGCUAUCCCACUCAGCUUUUUCGGGACACGGAGAGGUUUUGGGUCCAAGAGUCAGUCACACCUCCAUGGAACACAACACUUCUUCUCCUCUAGUACUUCUUCAAUUUUUUGAAGUACGUAGGGAUCUCCCCCUUCCAACUAAUCUUGAAUGGCUACAAGGUCCUCGCAGGCUAGUACAUCUUGUACAAGUGCCACAACUGGCUCGAACCUUCUCUGGCGGAGAUCCUAUAUUUGUACAGCUUUUGAGCCUGUCUGAAGAAGAAGGGAAGUGAUCUAGAUGGGACUUUAAGGACCACUUCUUCUUCACUACAGGCGUCCCUAUUCAUUCCAAUCCAACUCUACUUCUAGACAUUUCAAAAGUUGGUAAGCCUUUUUGUCACUUUCGGAGAGUUUCUUAGAUUUGGGUUCCUUUAGCUUGCGUUACUUUUUGUCUGAGGUCCUUUCCUCCACACCUCGUAGAUUCCUUCCUUCCAAGACUGUCUGUAGGAAAUGAAGACUUCCCCGAACAUGGAUCUGGAGCUGAGCUAGCUGCUAACCCACAAAGAAUCUUGUCCGGGUGGGACUUCAUCCCCAAGUUCAAAACAUUGGUAAUCUGGACCUCACUAGGUUCCCAAACUCUAAUAAGUCCCGGAAGCAGAUGGCUAGGCAUAUUGAGGAAGUUGACAUGCAAGCUAGACGCAUGCACACCCAACUUUUGGCCAAAGAGCGUCAAGAGACUUCUCGGGCAAUUCAAGCAGCCCAAGAAGCAUGCCUCAAGCAGGUUAUCGAGGAGGAGAUAGAGUUGGGAGUUGGGGCCUCCACUUCUGACCAAGGUAAAACUCUUCUCCUUCUAUUUCAGGGGGGGGGGGGGGGGGGUAAGUCCCGACCAUGUGUGAGUCUCCCCCACGAUUCUCUGAUGUGACCUCCUCAGUGAUCGUCGAUGGACUUAGGAGGAGUAUCAAGAUUAGCAAGAUAUCAUAGGCUACUACCUUCAUCACGCAGGAAGUGUUUGCCUCCUUGGAGCUUUGUACCCCUCGAUGACAUGACCUCUUUCCGCGCUUCAUGGUUUUUUCAGUACAAAACCAACACUACCCAAAAGAUGGGUAAGCUAAUGAGUGCAUUUGCUCACUCAAUACUUCACCCAGAGGAGUCAUCAAGUGUUGAGGUUCGUUGCCUUUGCCCACGAUCUAGACUCGGUGAUCCCGGAAGCUAGAGGAUCUGUGGCUGGAGGGCAAACGAGACCUGGAGAGGAGGUGGAACCUUCCCCACCCCCAAAGAGACAACAAAUGACUCAGACUUCUGUCGAUGAGCUUGGGGCAGUGCCUGACCUUCCACCGUGGGAGGUUACUAACACUCUGAUAUUGGAGGUGUCCUUUGAGGAUUCACCUGCCCCUAGAGUUGUUGAAAUCCCAGAGGUUGCUGAAGUCCCAGAGGUCCAAGAUGUUCCUUGCCUGCUCGUGUACCCCGAGCACCACGGGGGGAAACUACUCGAGAGGUACAAUGGAAUGGUGGAGCAUUUCAAGGCUCAACUGGAGGAGGGCAACACUCUGGUUCAUGAGAUGGGGGAAUAUAUUUGCCAAUUGCUACCUCCACGGGAGACGCCUCAGGAACCUCCAAUUUGGCAUGCACAACUAGAUGGUUUGUUUCUUUAGAAACUUGGCCUCUUUGUUGCUCCAUUGGCUGCGGAGCGUCUCCAGGGGUUAAGUACCACUGUUUGUGACUUAACCACAAGAAGAUACGCCCAACUAGUGGGGACGAUGAGGCAUGACUCAUCUCUUCCUGCCAGUAGGCAACAGUAAAGGCAACUUUGAUGGUCCAAUGCCUGGAGAACAUAAUGAUGGAGAAAUCAUAUGAACUCCAACGGACCUCAGAAAAGCUGGCUGUUCUGAAGUCCAACAUGUCUGUGGAUGUGGUGAAACAACUUCGGGCGGCCCUCAAUGAGGAGAAUGCACGUUCUUAGGAACUCCAAGUGGACUCAAAGGAGUCUUUUGACUUGCCAACAAGACUCCAAAAAAAAAUGGACCUCUUCUCUGCGGAGGCCAAGAAAGCUGCUGAAGAGGUGGCAAAGGCCAAUGAGGAGACCAGGGUAGUUAAAGAAGAGGCCACCAAAGCCUAGAAGGAGGCCACUCGGGUCGCGGAGGAAGCCAAUACUCUAUUCAAGGAGAGGUUGGCCACAGAGGACCGCAUUAGGGCCAUGGCCUUCGAGAUUGAAUCCUUAUCAAAUGAGAUGAAUAUCUUGAGUGAAGAGGUGGAUAGCAUUGCUAAAAAUGUUUUUUACAAGUCCUGGCUUUGGAACUGGGAUAUGGACUUAAGCUUCACUGGCAAUGCCGAUGCUACACGUGCACUCUUUGAGGAGCGCCUCUGAUCCAAAAUUGAUGCUACUGUUACUAGAUCCUCCAGUGUCAAUCUCGUCAUCGAGCUCAAAGAAGAAAUUCCUCGGGACCAAGAGAAGUUCAGUCUUUUUGUCUCCUUUUUUUUAUUGUAUAGGCAUGUGAGCCAUGUUUCUGGAGCAUGAAUAAUUCUAAUGCUCGAGCUCCCGAGCAUUUUCGUAUAAUUGUACAUUUAAUAGCCUUUUAUUGAUUUUUAUGAUCUA